AGAGUUUGAUCAUGGCUCAGAACGUACGCUGGCGGCACGCCUAACACAUGCAAGUCGAACGAAGUAGCAAUACUUAGUGGCAGACGGGUGAGUAACAUGUGGGUAUCUGCCCUUUGGCCUGGAAUAACACGAGGAAACUUGUGCUAAUACCGGAUAAGUCUUUACGGAGAAAGCUUUAUGCACCAUUGGAUGAGCCCGCACUUGAUUAGUUUGUUGGUGGGGUAAUGGCCUACCAAGACUGUGAUCAAUAGCUGAUUUGAGAGGAUGAUCAGCCACAUUGGGACUGAGACACGGCCCAAACUCCUACGGGAGGCAGCAGUGGGGAAUCUUGCACAAUGGAGGAAACUCUGAUGCAGCGAUGCCGCGUGAGUGAAGAAGGCCCUUGGGUUGUAAAGCUCUUUCGUCGGGGAAGAAAAUGACUGUACCCGAAUAAGAAGGUCCGGCUAACUUCGUGCCAGCAGCCGCGGUAAUACGAAGGGACCUAGCGUAGUUCGGAAUUACUGGGCUUAAAGAGUUCGUAGGUGGUUGAAAAAGUUGGUGGUGAAAUCCCAGAGCUUAACUCUGGAACUGCCAUCAAAACUUUUCAGCUAGAGUAUGAUAGAGGAAAGCAGAAUUUCUAGUGUAGAGGUGAAAUUCGUAGAUAUUAGAAAGAAUACCAAUUGCGAAGGCAGCUUUCUGGAUCAUUACUGACACUGAGGAACGAAAGCAUGGGUAGCGAAGAGGAUUAGAUACCCUCGUAGUCCAUGCCGUAAACGAUGUGUGUUAGACGUUGGAAAUUUAUUUUCAGUGUCGCAGCGAAAGCGAUAAACACACCGCCUGGGGAGUACGACCGCAAGGUUAAAACUCAAAUGAAUUGACGGGGACCCGCACAAGUAGUGGAGCAUGUGGUUUAAUUCGAAGAUACGCGCAGAACCUUACCAACACUUGACAUGUUCGUCGCGACUUUAAGAGAUUAAAGUUUUCGGUUCGGCCGGACGAAACACAGGUGCUGCAUGGCUGUCGUCAGCUCGUGUCGUGAGAUGUUGGGUUAAGUCCCGCAACGAGCGCAACCCUCACUUUUAGUUGCCAUCAUUAAGUUGGGCACUCUGAAAGAACUGCCAGUGAUAAGCUGGAGGAAGGUGGGGAUGACGUCAAGUCCUCAUGGCCCUUACGUGUUGGGCUACACACGUGCUACAAUGGUAUCUACAACAGGAAGCAAGACGGCGACGUUAAGCAAAUCCUCAAAAGAUACCUCAGUUCGGAUUGCACUCUGCAACUCGAGUGCAUGAAGCUGGAAUUACUAGUAAUCGUGGAUCAGCGUGCCACGGUGAAUGCGUUCCCGGGUCUUGUACACACCGCCCGUCACACCAUGGGAGUUGGUUCUACCUUAAGGCAAGGUUUAAAACCCUUGACCACGGUAUAGUCAGCGACUGGGGUGAAGUCGUAACUAAGGUAGCCGUA
rnacentral:rRNA from 1 species